AUGUCGCCCUACAGACCCCCCUGGAGAGACGCAGCCGGGAGCUGCAGGUGACGGUCCGGCCGCAGGUGUCUGGGAUCCAGGUGUUACCGCAUUGGGAGCCCCGGGAUAAGGUGCCGUUUGCCGUCCAGAUCCAGAACUUUUACCCCAGGGAGAUUCACCAGAUCCAGUGGAGCUGUGACAGGAAACCUUGGGAAAAGUGUGAAGCAACCGACUACAGGCAGAACCCGGAUCUCACGUUCAGCGCUACCAGCGUCUGGAGACUCCCCAGCCAGGAAAUGAACCAUCGGGAGCUCAGAGUCCGAGUGUCCAUUCAGCAAAGGCUCCAAGAGCCCCAGAUUGACAGAGAGAUCAGAGCCAGGGACACAGGUCUCCUGCGGCCCCCGGAGGUGUCGGAAAUCUCCCAACCCCAGUCAGUGACAGCGGGGGAGGAAAUCACCCUGAGCUGCCGCAUGACGGGGCAUUUCCCCGAGGCGCUGAGUGUGACCUGGCUCAGGAGGGGCUGGGGGGCCGGGGCUGCUGUUCCCCUGCAGGGCUUUGCCGAGUACAGAAUCAACCCCGGAGCUCCCCGCACACAGGACGGGAAAAGCUUCCAGCAGGAGACGAGACUCAGCUUCACCCCCUCGGUGCAGAGAGACCAGGGGGCCGAGUACAUCUGCCAGGUGGGACACGUCGCCCUACAGACCCCCCUGGAGAGACGCAGCCGGGAGCUGCAGGUGACGGCCCGGCCGCAGGUGUCCGGGAUCCAGGUGUUACCGCAGUGGGAGCCCCGGGACGAGGUGCCGUUUGCCGUCCAGAUCCAGAACUUUUACCCCAGGGAGAUUCACCGGAUCCAGUGGAGCUGUGACGGGAAACCUUGGGAAAAGUGUGAAGCAACCGACUACAGGCAGAACCCGGAUCUCACGUUCAGCGCUACCAGCGUCUGGAGACUCCCCAGCCAGGGACUGAACCAUCGGGAGCUCAGAGUCCGAGUGUCCAUUCAGCAAAGGCUCCAAGAGCCCCAGAUUGAGAGAGAGAUCAGAGCCGGGGAGACAGGUCUCCUGCGGCCCCCGGAGGUGUCGGAAAUCUCCCAACCCCAGUCAGUGACGGCGGGGGAGGAAAUCACCCUGAGCUGCCGCAUGACGGGGCAUUUCCCCGAGGCUCUGAGUGUGACCUGGCUCCGGAGGGGCCGGGGGGCCAGGGCUGCUGUUCCCCUGCAGGGCUCUGCCGAGUACAGAAUCGAGCCCGGAGCUCCCCGCACACAGGACGGGAACAGCUUCCAGCAGGAGACGAGACUCAGCUUCACCCCCUCGGUGCAGAGAGACCAGGGGGCAGAGUACGUCUGCCGGGUGGGACACGUCGCCCUACAGACCCCCCUGGAGAGACGCAGCCGGGAACUGCGCGUGGAAGUUCCACAGGCUCCAGUUUGGGGCGAGAUUUCCCAGCCGCAGGUCCUGAUCCCCGGGGAGCCGGUUACACUGAGCUACCCCAAGGAGCCGAGAGGGACCUGGAACCAAUUGAAAAGAGGAGAGACGGAAUGCAGGAGCUUAGACAACCCGCACAGGAUUGUCACCCCAGACCCCACAGCCGUGCCAGACAGGAAAUCCUACAGUGCGAAGUCCCAGCUCCACUUCAUCCCCAUGCUGCCCGAGGAUGAUGGGGCAGAGUACCUGUGCUCUGUGGAACAUCAAACCCUACAGGAGCCUGAAGCAAAAUCCACUGGGCCGCUGGAGCUGCGAGGUACGAGCGAGUGGGGCCGGGCAGCGCCGCGCUGAUGCUGGGGUUGUUGUGGCUGAGGAGGUCUCUGCUCUCAGGCACUUGGAGCGUCCACACAAAGUGUCGCUUUGGGCUGAGCCUCCCCCGGCCAGUUCCCAGCAUGUGGGGCGGUUCCUGGAACGUUUGGGGACUGGCCCGUUGGCUGCUUGCAGGUCCCCAG